AAUCAACGCUGGCGGCGUGCCUAACACAUGCAAGUCGAACGAGAAAGUGGAGCAAUCCAUGAGUAAAGUGGCGCACGGGUGAGUAACACGUGACUAACCUACCCUUGAGUGGGGGAUAACCUAGGGAACCUGGGCUAAUACCGCAUAAUACCUACGGGUCAAAGGAGCAAUUCGCUUUAGGAGGGGGUCGCGGCAGAUUAGUUAGUUGGCGGGGUAAGUGGCCCACCAAGACGAUGAUCNGUAUCCGGCCUGAGAGGGCGCACGGACACACUGGAACUGAAACACGGUCCAGACUCCUACGGGAGGCAGCAGUGGGGAAUUUUGCGCAAUGGGGGAACCCGUGACGCAGCGACGCCGCGUGGAGGAUGAAGACCCUUGGGUCGUAAACUCCUUUCGAUCGGACGAUAAUGACGGUACCGGAAGAAGAAGACCCCGGCUAACUUCGUGCC
rnacentral:rRNA from 1 species